AAGUCGUAACAAGGUUUCCGUAGCGGAAGGAUCAUUAACACGUAUCCAAACGUUAAAACCCCCCCCGUGAACUUUCAUCCUGCUCUUGUAACCCGCGUAGUUCGCAAUCUCUGAUAAAUCAUAGCCCGGAAAGUUGUAGUGAUUCAGAGACCUCGGGCCUACGUGCGAACAUUGGAACAGUUACAAUCGAGCUCGGAAAGUGUCAUUGAUUGUGCAAGGAUAGCGCUUCUACGAUUCCUGUAGACCGUACACUCGGGCAGGAGCUUUGCCAAAGGGUCCCCAUGCCCCCUAAUAACCCCACAGUUUAAUGUGAAGCUCAAUGAAAUACAUUGGGUAAAAACACCGAACAACUGUUAACAAUGGAUAUCUUGGUUCUC
rnacentral:misc_RNA from 1 species